GACUGUGCAAAGGUAGCAUAAUCAGUUGGCCUAUAAUUGAGGUCUGGAAUGAACGAAAAAUAGGGUAGCAACUGUCUUAGUAUAUUUUUUUAAACUUAGUUAGCAAGUGAAAAUACUUGCAAAUAUACAAAAGACGAGAAGACCCUAGAAACUUACGGGAUUUUUGUUGGGGCGACAAGAUUACAGUUAACUAAUCUUAUUUAAACAAGACGUAUAGCAGAAAGAAAAAGUUACUCUAGGGAUAACAGCAUAAUUUCAAAAGUUUGUGACCUCGAUGUUGGACUAGGUAAAAAACACCUUAGAAAGGAGUCAAUAUGCUCUGUUCGAGCUGUUUCAACCUACAUGAUCUGAGUUCAGACCGGCGUAAGCCAG
rnacentral:rRNA from 1 species